rnacentral:rRNA from 1 species
AACGAACGCUGGCGGCAGGCCUAACACAUGCAAGUCGAGCGCGCCCUUCGGGGUGAGCGGCGGACGGGUGAGUAACGCGUGGGAACGUGCCCUUUUCUACGGAAUAGCCUCGGGAAACUGAGAGUAAUACCGUAUACGCCCUUUGGGGGAAAGAUUUAUCGGAAAAGGAUCGGCCCGCGUUGGAUUAGGUAGUUGGUGGGGUAAUGGCCUACCAAGCCGACGAUCCAUAGCUGGUUUGAGAGGAUGAUCAGCCACACUGGGACUGAGACACGGCCCAGACUCCUACGGGAGGCAGCAGUGGGGAAUCUUAGACAAUGGGGGCAACCCUGAUCGAGCCAUGCCGCGUGAGUGAGGAAGGCCUUAGGGUUGUAAAGCUCUUUCAGCUGGGAAGAUAAUGACGGUACCAGCAGAAGAAGCCCCGGCUAACUCCGUG